ACAAAUUCAAACUGGAAAGUGAAUUUCUGUUGGAUCGGUGCUUUGCAUCAUGGAGCCCCAUUAUUUUUGACCUGCUAUCAGGAGCUUUAUAUCUGGAUUUACUCUAUCAAAACAUGGCCCAAGAUAACUUUUCUACUCAGAAUUAGUCUGGAGUUAAGCAGCUCUUCACGUUUUCUACUUUCUUCUGCCUUUACCUAUGUCAGUUCUACGGUAUGGUUCACUGCACAGCUACAUGAAGGUUAUGGAGUUGAAUCAGCUCAGGGAAGGACUAAAAGAUUACCAGUGUCGGAACAAGGCAAGAACACUAGCAAAGGGAGCACAAUCUCCUGUCUUAGCAGUAAAGUAAACCAGAAUAUAUAACUUAAAGAAAGACAAGAUUUGUAGGGGGAGGCAAUAUCUUAUAGCAGGUGAUAUGGCUGCAAAAAAGAUGGAAAACUGUACCCAAAAUUUACAGGACAUAGUAGGAGUAGCAACUACUCAAAAAUAUUCUCUCUUUCUGCAAUCUAUGCUUCUUUUUCUUAAACAAUGAAUUAAACAAACAAAAAAAAAAACCCUAACCUUUCUUUCCCUCAAUCCUGCAAUCCUCUGUCAGUGUUGGUAAUCUUGGUGGUGUUGGUAAUGCUUUACUUGAGGUGAAACUUGAACUUUUUAAAAUGUGUUUUGCUUCCAGAUUGCAAACAAGUAUGCUUUGUCCUUUUUUCGCUGUUUUCCGUCCCUUCAUAAAAUCUACCACUAACACAUUCAGUUUUGAAAAUUAAUUUUUUCUCUGUUCAUUCUAGUUUACUAAUUACAAAAUUUUUGUACCCAAGAAAUUAGGAAGAGGGGGUGGGAAGUAGGGGAGGGUGAAGGAAAUUCUUAUCAGCAUUUAUGUGUAAACAAAGAUAGUUUUGGCAGCACUUCAAAUCCUUCAUGUGUCCUUAGGGUAGAGAGAUAAAUAGGAGCUCUUAAGUGAUUUUUUGUCUGUCUUUCAUUCUGAUUCUUUACUUUGCUUACUCCUGUCCAUUGCUUUUAUCAGUUCAGAUUUCACAUCCCUGCACAUUUUUCUUGAGCUAUCAUCACCUUCAUCAAAAUGAUUGUUCCCUAAU
rnacentral:lncRNA from 1 species